AAUCUCAUUCACUACUUUGGGAAUAGCAUUUGCCACCAUCUUCUGAGCAUAAGUCACCUCAACCUUUGCUUCCUUGUUUGUCUCAAUUGCAUUAGUAAGCUCAGCUCGCCUGGAUUGAAGUAGAGCAAUUUGAUUGUCAAUUUCUUGCACAGUCAAUAAAUUUGAAUCCACCUGCGAUUGCAGCUGGUCUGUUUUUUCCUUCAAUUCAUUAUACUCGUUCUUCAGAGAAGCAACCUUGGCCU
rnacentral:misc_RNA from 1 species